rnacentral:tRNA from 1 species
GAGUGGGAAAAAAGUGAUUGCUAAUCACUAAAAUCAGGGGUAAACACCUGACCCCCUCA